rnacentral:rRNA from 1 species
GACGAACGCUGGCGGCGUGCCUAAUACAUGCAAGUCGAACGAGUGGCGGACGGGUGAGUAACACGUGGGAACCUACCCAUCCGAGGGGGAUAACACUUGGAAACAGGUGCUAAUACCGCAUACUGAUGGAUGGACCCGCGGUGCAUUAGCUAGUUGGUGAGGUAAAGGCUCACCUAGGCGACGAUCUCUAGAUGGGCUGGGAUGAGGAUCAGCCACACGUGGACGGAGACACGGCCCAGACUCCUACGGGAGGCAGCAGUGGGGAAUAUUGCACAAUGGGCGCAAGCCUGAUGCAGCCAUGCCGCGUGUAUGAAGAAGGCCUUAGGGUUGUAAAGUACUUUCAGCGGGGAGGCGUUACCCGCAGAAGAAGCACCGGCUAACGCCGUGCCAGCAGCCGCGGUAAUUC